UACGGAGGAUCCGAGCGUUAUCCGGAUUUAUUGGGUUUAAAGGGUGCGCAGGCGGGAGAUUAAGUCGGCGGUGAAAUUUUGCAGCUCAACUGUAAAAGUGCCUUCGAAACUGGUUUCCUUGAGUGUAGAUGAAGUAGGCGGAAUUUGUGGUGUAGCGGUGAAAUGCAUAGAUAUCACGAGGAACUCCGAUUGCGCAGGCAGCUUACUAAACUACUACUGACGCUCAGGCACGAGGGCGUGGGGAUCAAACAGGAUUAGAUACCCCGGUAGU
rnacentral:rRNA from 1 species